CGCGGCCUAUCAGCUUGUUGGUGGGGUAACGGCCUACCAAGGCUACGACGGGUAGCUGGUCUGAGAGGAUGGUCAGCCGGAUUGGGACUGAGACACGGCCCAGACUCCUACGGGGGGCAGCAAUUAGGAAUCUUGCGCAAUGGGCGAAAGCCUGACGCAGCGACGCCGCGUGACCGAUGAAGUCCUUCGGGAUGUAAAGGUCUUUUGCCAGGGAAGAAGAACGUGACGGUACCUGGCGAAUAAGCCCCGGCUAACUACGUGCCAGCAGCCGCGGUAAGACGUAGGGGGCGAGCGUUGUCCGAAGUCACUGGGCGUAAAGCGCGCGUAGGCGGCCUCUUAAGUUGGGUGUGAAAUCCUGCGGCCCAACCGCAGAACUGCAUCCAAAACUGGGAGGCUUGAGGACGGAAGAGGGCAGUGGAAUUCCUGGUGUAGCGGUGAAAUGCGUAGAUAUCAGGAGGAACACCCGUGGCGAAGGCGGCUGCCUGGUCCGUAUCUGACGCUGAGGUGCGAAAGCCAGGGGAGCGAACGGGAUUAGAUACCCCGGUAGUCCUGGCCCUAAACGAUGGAUACUAGGUGUUAGUGGUAUCGACCCCACUAGUGCCGUAGCUAACGCAUUAAGUACCCCGCCUGGGGAGUACGG
rnacentral:rRNA from 1 species